CUUAGUUGCUAACAGUUCGGCUGAGAAAUAUAAGGAGACUGCCUACGCAAGUACGAGGAAGGUGAGGAUGACGUCAAGUCAUCAUAGCACAGACAUACAGGGCUACACACUACUAAAAUGGAGUAUACAAGAACGCAAUACGGUCACGCGGAGCAAAUCUCAAAAAUGCCUCCCAGUUCGGAUUGUAGUCUGCAACUCGACUACAUGAAGUUGGAAUCGC
rnacentral:rRNA from 1 species